rnacentral:rRNA from 1 species
GAUGAACGCUAGCGGCAGGCCUAAUACAUGCAAGCUGAACGGUAAAUGUUAUAGCAAUAUGAUAUGAGAGUAGCGUAAGGGUGCGUAACACGUAUGCAAUCUGCCCGCAACAGGAGGAUAGCUCCCCGAAAGGGGAAUUAAUACUCCAUAAUAUCACGAGAGGGCAUCUGAUUGUGAUUAAACUCCAAGGGGUUGCGGAUGAGCAUGCGUCUGAUUAGUUAGUUGGUGAGGUAACGGCUCACCAAGACGAUGAUCAGUAGGGGAACUGAGGGGUUGAUCCCCCACACUGGCACUGAGAUACGGGCCAGACUCCUACGGGAGGCAGCAGUAGGGAAUAUUGGUCAAUGGGUGAGAGCCUGGACCAGCCAUGCCGCGUGCAGGAAGACGGCCUUCUGGGUUGUAAACUGCUUUUGUCAGGGGAUAAAAUACCCGUGCGCGGGGAAUUGAAGGUACCUGAUGAAUAAGCCACGGCUAACUACGUGCCAGCCGCCGCGGUAACAC